GCAAAUUACCCAAUCCCAACGCGGGGAGGUAGUGACAAGAAAUAACAACAACUAACCUAUUUCAGGUGAGUUGAUUGGAAUGAGUACAAUCUAAACACCUUAACGACUAUCCAUUGGAGGGCAAGCCUGGUGCCAGCAGCCGCGGUAAUUCCAGCUCCAAUAGCGUAUACUAAUGUUGUUGCAGUUAAAAAGCUCGUAGUCGGAUUUCAGUAGGCUCAGUUAAGUCUCUUCUAUUGAGUUCUUUAUGGGCCUGCUUCUUUGACAGAAACUUCUAUGUUAUUCAUUUAGCGUGGGUAGCGACUGUCUCUUUUACUUUGAGAAAAUUAGAGUGUUCAAAGCAGGUAUUCGCCUGAAUAUUACUCUUGGAAUAAUGCUAUAAGACUUUGGUUCUAAUGUAUUGGUGAUUGGGACCAGAGUAAUGAUUGAUAGGGACGGUUGGGGUCUUACGUACUGCAAAGCGAGAGGUGAAAUUCUUGGACCUUUGUAUGACGAACAACUGCGAAAGCAUUGGACUAGGACGUUCCCGUUGAUCAAGAACGAAAGUUGGGGGAUCGAAGACGAUCAGAUACCGUCGUAGUCUCAACCAUAAACUAUGCCAGCUAGGGAUCGGAGGACGUUACAUGUUCGACUCCUUCGGCACCUUAUGAGAAAUCAAAGCAUUUGGGUUCCGGGGGGAGUAUGGUCGCAAGGCUGAAACUUAAAGGAAUUGACGGGAGGGCACCACCAGGAGUGGAGCCUGUGGCUUAAUUUGACUCAACACGGGAAAACUUACCAGGUCCG
rnacentral:rRNA from 1 species